rnacentral:ncRNA from 1 species
UUAAAGUUUUAUUCUUGCUUAAAUAUUUAUUUUUUCUUUGUGUUACAUGCAAGUUUAGUAAGACUAAAUGUUCUUUUUGCAGUAAUUUUAUUUAAUUAUCAAAUGAUUUUGGAAUUAGCAAUUGAUUUAGUAUAGGCAUAAUUCGUGCCAGCAGCCGCGGUUAUACGAUUGGAUGCAAGUAAAUAAUUUUGGUUAAAAUAGUUAUUUAUAAUAUUGGAGUUUAACUAUUAAUUUAUGAGGUGAAAUUUUAUUUUUUUUUAUGACUCUAUUUAUGAAUCUAUGAAACUUAGUCAAUAAACUAGGAUUAGAUACCCUAUUAUAUUAAGUGUUAAUUUUGCUUACCAGGGUAGUAUUAGUUAGGUUCUUUAAACCCAAAGAAUUUGGCGGUAUCUUAUUCCAUUCAGAGGAACCUACCCCUUGAUUGAUAGUACACGAUUUACUUUACUUAAUUUAUUUGUUUGUAUAUCUCCGUUAUCAGAAAAUCUUUUUAGAGUUUAAAUUUUCUUAAUUUAUAAUUAUAAAUUAUUUCAGGUCAAGGUGCAGCUUAUAAUUAAGAGGAGGUGGGUUACAAUAAAUUUUUAUUUAUUAUGAAUUUAUUAAUGAAAUAUUAAUAUUGAAGGUGGAUUUGAUAGUAAUUUAAUUUAUUUAAUUUAAUUGAUAUUGGCUCUAGGAUGUGCACACAUCGCCCGUCGCUCUCAUCUUUGAGUUUAAUAAUAUUUUAAUUUAAUUUUCUAUUUAGAUGAGAUAAGUCGUAACAUAGUAGAUGUACUGGAAAGUGUAUCUAGUAAGUAUUUAU